CAGGAAGUAGUAGAUCAGCAAAAUAACAGUCCAAACACCAAACCUUACAAAUGAUGCCCUAUCAAUCGAUCCCAAAAGAAAAAUGUUGAUAAGAAUUGAAGCAGAUGGUAACCACGGCACUAAUGGAACACCCCACAAUUUUGGAGGCCUUGCUUGUGGAACAAAAACAUUGAGUGCCAAAGUAGCGAAGAACCAUAUUGGCAGGGUAAUCACAUAACCAAUCCAACCACCUCCACCCGCACCCCAAAUAGCAGCAGUGGCCACUGAGGAACCAAGAAUCACCAAAAUGCACACAAUGAGCUUUGUACGAUCUGCAGAUGUUGUCAUACCACUGACAUAGUAGCGGCGUACAAGAAGUGCCAACGCCACAAGCAUGAAGAUAAACAAAGUG
rnacentral:misc_RNA from 1 species